AUUGAACGCUGGCGGCAUGCCUUACACAUGCAAGUCGAACGGCUGAAGGGGUGUUUGCACUUGGUGGAGCGGCGCGCACGUGAGUGUUAUCUAUCGAAAUACGUGCUAGUGUGGGAUAACGUCCGGCAACAGGCGGUAAAAUCGCGCACAUGCUCAGGGGAUGAAAGCGGGAGAUUCUGGGCUCACGCGCUAUGAGGAUCGUAGAUGUCUGAUUAGCUAGUUGGUGGGGUAAAGGUCUACCAAGGCGACGAUCCGUAACUGGUCUGAGAGGAUGACCAGACACACUGGAACUGAGACACGGCCCAGACUCCUACGGGGGGCAGCAGUGGGGAAUAUUGGACAAUGGGCGAAAGCCUGAUCCAGCAAUGCCGCGUGUGUGAAGAAGGUCUUCGGAUUGUAAAGCACUUUAGGCCGGGAGGAAAGGCAGUACGUUAAUACCGUCGUGUUAUGACGGUACCAAAAGAAUAAGCACCGGCUAACUUCGUG
rnacentral:rRNA from 1 species